rnacentral:lncRNA from 1 species
CUAAAAGCUCUGCCAAAGUCCAGUUAAAUUAUGUUCACUGUCAUGUUCCCAUCCAACAAGCUACUCAAAUCAUCAUGAAAGGCUGCCAGGUUUGUCAAGCUUCUUUCUCCUUUGUGAAUCUAUAGUGACAAUAACCACUCACUUUUUUGUCAUCAUUUUAGAAAUGUCUUCCAGCCUGCAGUUGGUACAGUUCUCUGGAUCUUCUACCUGUCUGAAGAUAGAAGUGAAAUUUUCAACAGAAAUUAUGCUCAAACAUUUCUGUACUGGCUUUUCAUUUGACCUGCAAGAGUAUCUUUUGGACUGGCUUUGGGAGAUCCAAACUGAAGAUCUAGGAGAGAAAGCCUAGGGGAACACUGUACAUAGCAGUCUCCACACAUCCUAUGAGUCCUCUUAUCCAUACUACUGAUUGACAUCAAGCAGAAAAAAAUGCCCAGAGUCUGUCAAAGAAAAGUAUGACGCUGGUAUCAAGAAUAGAUGGGACACAUUAAAUGCAGAAUAUCAAUCUAUUACCUACACAGACAUCACAGAAGAAGCCAGAAAAGCCAGAUUCCCUUCAGGCCAUUUCUGUACAUGAUAGUGUUUCAAAGUCUACUGGAUGUUUGUCUGCUUUAAUUACUUUGUCAAACUUCACGUUGGCUGGAUAUGAGGAUGUUUUACAAACAAAAGUCCUGAUAGAGAAGAAAACGUAUUUCUUUACAAAGCAAUAAAGAUGGAAGAAAGGAAGAAAGGAGAUACGCUGUUCUGUAUAUUUUUCUACAUAGAUUUGUCUGAGCUGUGGAACAUUUUAGUACAGUUUGAUCAGAUAUCUAUCAGGAACAGGUUAAGCAUAGUGCUGUGGCAGGGAAAGCCCAAGUGACCACUUAAAUCCCAAUGACUCCCUGAGAUCCCAGCUCUACUUUCUUCUGAGUAACCUGGUCAAAAUCCAAUCUGAGAGAGGCUAUCACCAACAGCUGAUGCGCAUAGUAAUUCUGCAAAUCUUUGGCAAAGGUUCCAGUUAAGUUUCACAUGUGCAGUUCUUGACCUUCAAUGUAAUUUGGGCUUUUGAAGUGCAAUGACAAGUUUACUCUAACUGAGUUUGUGGAUUCUCUUAAAGGGAAGGCUUUGCCUAUGACUUAGAAAAGCCCCUCAGAUUUUGAAUCAAUGAACUACCAAACAAACAUACUGAGGCAGUAUUUCCAGAAAUAUUUCUCAAGUUAUCCUUACUCUCUCACUCUACCCUAUUAAGCUGCUCUGUAAAGGGUAGUCUUGGGCCAUGGAUGCAGGGCUGUAGCAGUUGGUCAUGUCUGAUUUGUUCUUGAUUCUUGAAUAUGUCCAAGAAGGAGUGAGAAACACUGCAUUGAAACACAUGACAGCUAUACCAGUAGCUUCAACACCUCUUGCAGUCUGAUUCUCCAUUGCUUUGCUCAUUUGCUGAUCAUUCUGUACGUGCAGGAGAAGGGCUGAGUGAGCAAGGCUGCAAAUGAUCACAGACCUAGUGCUUAAAGUAGCACCAGUGUAAUCAAGUGCAUGAUCUGGGCUGCAAAGGUGGGACUACGGGCUUUGAAUUUUGCUGGACACAUCUAACAAUUGCACUGCAGGUGCUUAGCAGGCAACUGCUUGUCAGCUGAAGGUAAAGCAACUGUAUUAUAGGUGAAGUUCUG